GCCAAGCGUUUGUGUUGGUGUCUUUUCAGCUCUCCUGAGGCGUGCCACUGCGUACAAACAUCAAAACAAGCUCCAGGAAGCUGCGGAAGACCUGAAGGUAGUGCUGAGCGUGGAGCCUCAUAACGACGUGGCCAGGAAAAUCCUGUCAGAGAUUGAAAGCGAUCUGAAGAAACCAGAGUCCGCCGCUGAGCCCCAAGGGAAAAGGAUGGUUAUUGAGGAAGUGGAGAGCUCGGGGGAUGAAGGUGAAAAGCAAAGCAGAGAUAAACCUGAAGACGGUGGUGGAGACACAGGUGAGACGUCUCUUCUUUCUGGUUAUUGCGAACUGCUGUUUCCAUCACGAGGCUGCUUGAGGAAACUGCUGGUUUCCCGAACUUUGCUCUAGCUUUACCUUAAAGUCUCCGGUCAAGUUCAGCCCUGCUUUUCUUUUUAAAUUUAUUUUACAAUCGUGUUUUACAUGCCGG
rnacentral:lncRNA from 1 species